rnacentral:snRNA from 1 species
AGCUUUGCACAGUGGCAGUAUCGUAACCAGUGAGGUUUACGAGGUGCGAUUUAUUGCUAAUUGAAAAAAAAAAAAAGACAAACUUAAAUGUAAAACGUAAAACUAUAGAACUUCUAGAAAAAA